rnacentral:lncRNA from 1 species
AGAAAGGCACGUUUACCAUUUAGUACUACUAAUUACUUUUUAAUUGAUAUUUAUAUUAUCAUUAUUAGGCUGACAACAUGCUCUGCUACACUCUAAAUUACCACUCAGGAAGGAGCUCUUGGAGCCAUUUGGGAAGAGUUCUGGGACUGUUCAGGAGCUGUCAAAAAGGCAAGAAGAACCCUAAGAAUGAAGAGGAGGCAAAAAAGAAAGUAUUUGUGGUAAAACAUGAAGAGGUGUCCAAAAGUGUCCAUAAACAAAAAGCUGGUUAAGAAGGUUGGACUACAGCUGCCCUGAAAGCUCUUCCAUUAAAAGCAAAUCCAUCUCAUUGCCAAUAUGAGGCAAAGAUCAUGAAGAAGCAGCUGGAUCCUUACAUGACACCCCAGUGAGCCUUCGGAGGUAGGAAGAGAUUGUUUUUUGUAACUCUUGUAUCACAACUCAGCUUUCUUUUCACCAGAUUUUGUUUUCAUGCCUUUUAAAGAUGAAGUGAUGUGAUUUGACAUUAAAAUAAAAAUACAGGAAUUAUGAUGGACA